UUUGACAUAUAUUGUCCUUCAGGUUCCAUGGCUAUAUAUAGCCAACCAUAGUUGAGGUAUUAACUAACUAUUGUACUGACAAUUUACAUGUUGCCCUUCUGUCCUAUCAUGCUACAUAUUUUUAAAAAAAGCAUAACUAAGCUGUAGGGGUUCCUAUUCUCUUUGUGAUUGCACCUUGCCAUAGUUACAGUGACACUGCUAGAAAUG